ACAAACUGAACCACAAGAUCAUGACCUGAGCUGAAGUCAGACACUCAACUGACUGAGCUACCCAGAUGCCCUGCAAAUCACUCUUAAGUAGAGAGACCCACUCAGACCUGGGGAGAAGGAGUCAUGUCCACAUGACGCUCAGAACCCCAGUGGCUUUUGCAUUUGCAUAUCCCAAAGACGGGAAGCAAGAUGGCUUAACUCAAGACCUUUGAAUCUCCCCCUCCUUGGCUGCUAUGUAGGAGAUUCUCUCCCAGACACGAAGCUUCAAGAUGAUCAUUCUAAUGGAUUCCGAAGCACAGUGUGUAGAGUGGGAAGCCUUUGGACUCUGGGUUUCCUGUGUUGUGGUCUAAAACCUGUUCAGUCAAGUCGAAUUGUACUGGUAUUCUGCAGUUUGUGUUGGGAGCCCAUGGCCAGCUGUUUAUUAUUUUAAAAACUCUGGGUUGCUGCCUUUAUGCAUGGGGGUGGGAGGGCAGCCUACUGUGCAAGGCGGCUGCCACCUUCUUCUGGGAAUGACAAUGUUGCUCUGUAUACUCCACGGGGGCCCCUCAGGCAGAGCUACCGCAUUCCGGAGCUCUUCCCAGCCAGAUGAACAGAGACUAUUUCAUCUCACCAGUUAUCGAGACAAAGUCAGGGCUCUAGCAAUUGUGUUCCUCCCUGUCAUAUAACCUUUACAUGAGGAAGACCCCACUAAGGCCUUGAGACCAGGACACUCACAGCUUCACCAGAGUACUGGGGAAACGUGUUCACACUGGGCUUUAUGAAACACACUCUUGCCUUCCUCACCUUUCAAAAUGUGUCCCUGCUGGGUGCCCCAUGGUAAGAAUGUCUCAGUGUCCCACUGGAACAUUUGUUAUUGCCCAAUCCAGCUCAACACCCCUUCCAGCCAUGUCCCAAGAAGCCAGCGCUGAGCACUUGAAAUAAAACAGAGCGAUGUCCUCGAGCUGUAAAUGCCUCCCAAAGACAAACGGACAGAACUUCAUUGUUUCAGGGAAGAAGGCGCCUCACAUAGCGGUCACAUUGUGGUUACCGGGGGCCCGAUGAUUAAUCCACAGAGAGGAUGUGCAGGAGAGAGGAGCUGGCAUCAUUCCUGCAGAUGAAGAUUCUUUAAAAUUUCACGUCUCUGACUGAACAUGUGCCCCAGAAACACAAGAUUUCCAUUGUUAAGGUCUCUUUGGUGACCUCAUUUUCCCAGUCGUGAGUUGGCAUGGCAUGCAGCUCUGAAUGGGACCUUUUGUAACUGGAAAUUCCACGGUUCCAGCUGCCCCUGACUCUCGUCCAUGCCAGACGACAUCCCCAGAGACUUUGAAGUUGCAUGUUUGAAUGAAGCACAGCCCCACCCCACCUCUCACCCUGUGUGCCUGCCCACAGUAUCAGUCAGACUCUGGGAGAGCAGUGGGACCAGCUUCUGGCUACCAACAGGAAUCCAGCACAGUGUUGUGCCUAUGCAAGGAUAGAUGAAUGAGUGGAGCUCUGAGAGAUGAGGCCCCUUGUGGACGGGCGCUUGAGGACAUCAGGCCACUUUCCUUGCAUCUAUGAAGUCAUACCAUGUUGGCUGACACCUCAUAAGCCUGGACACAAUGCAAGUAUCCCAAUAUGUUAAACUUAUUUGUCCAUUUACAAUUUCAUUCGAUGUUUACUGAGCACCAACUUUCUGUUAGGUCAUGCUGGGGAAGAUAGCAGAAUGAAAAAAUGUAGUCUCUGUCUCAACAAUCCAGGUGGGAGAAGACUUGAGUUUCAUGCAGAAAGCAAGAUAGCAAGGAAUGGACACUUAUCUCACCUGAGGGAUAUCUAUGAGAAGACUUCCUGAGUGGGAUGGCUUUGAGUUGCUACAAGGAUGUAGUAAGAAAUAAAAAUCCUUAAAGGCAUUAAGCAACAACCACAGCAACACUGUUUUUUUCUAUAUUCACACCAACAUUUCUGACAGCAGAUGGGUGGGUUUUUCCACACGAAGCAAUUCUCUAGUUCUCGGCAGUCACCAGUUGAGUGUCCUACAAUUUAAAUUGCUACACUAACUGGACAGACCGCACAGGUUAAGAGCUUAGUCCACAAGACUGUCCCCCACUUCAUAAACCAAUUGCAAGGCCUGGGUUGUCACCUGUACUUCUAACUGACUGGCCAUAAAUGGGGGUUCCCACAACUCCUCCUUGGAUUGGCACAUUUGCUAGAACAGGUCACAGAACUUGGGAAAACAGUUUACUUACUAGUGUACCAGUUUAUUAUAAAAGGAUGCAACUCAGGAACAGCAAGAAGGAAGAGAAGCAAGCAUAGGGCAAGGUGGGAAGGGGUUCAUGGAGCUUCCAUGCCUUCUCUGGGUUCACCACCCUCCCAACACCUCAAUGUGUUCACUAACCAGGAAACUCUCUCUACCCUGUUGUUUGGGGCUUUUGUGGGGGAUUCGUUACAUAGGCAUGGUUGCUUAAAUCAUUGGCCACCGGUAAUUGAAAAUCUCCAGCCCCUCUCCCCUUCCUGAGGAGGGUUGGGGAAGGGACUGAAAGUUACAACCCUGUAAUCACAUGGCUGGCUCUCCUGGAAGCAUCCCUCCAUCUUUUGGAGCUUUCCACAAGUCACCCCAUUAGUAUAAACUCACGUAUGGUUGAAAGGGAUAUAUUAUGAAAAAUAAAAGAUGUUCCUUUCUCCUCUAUCACUCAGGAAACUCCAAGAGUUUGGCAGUUCUGUGCCAGGAAUUGGGAACAAAGAUCAAGUAUACACUUCUUAUUAUAUUACAGUAUCACAGCUUUCCAUGCAGACGGGGCAGAGCAAUUAAAGCAGAGCAGGUGUGAAAAAAAAUGUGAGGUGUGGCUAUAAUAACGAAUUUCUGUAAGAGGGUGGGAAUGAGCUUGAACAAUCAGUAGCAGCCUUGCUGUGUUAAUGAGUUUGAAACUAUAUUAUUCUCUUGUGGGGGCAUGGAUAGUAAUUAUACUUUACACACAUAGAAUGAUUCUGUGAGCAGUAAGCAGUCUGCUUUAUGUGAAUGAUCUCAUUACAUAUUUGCUACCACUCUGA